rnacentral:rRNA from 1 species
AUUGAACGCUGGCGGCAUGCUUUACACAUGCAAGUCGAACGGCAGCACGGGCUUCGGCCUGGUGGCGAGUGGCGAACGGGUGAGUAAUGCAUCGGAACGUGCCCAUGUCGUGGGGGAUAACGUAUCGAAAGGUACGCUAAUACCGCAUACGCCCUGAGGGGGAAAGCGGGGGAUUCUUCGGAACCUCGCGCGAUUGGAGCGGCCGAUGUCGGAUUAGCUAGUUGGUGGGGUAAAGGCUCACCAAGGCGACGAUCUGUAGCGGGUGUGAGAGGAUGAUCCGCCACACUGGGACUGAGACACGGCCCAGACUCCUACGGGAGGCAGCAGUGGGGAAUUUUGGACAAUGGGCGCAAGCCUGAUCCAGCCAUGCCGCGUGAGUGAAGAAGGCCUUCGGGUUGUAAAGCUCUUUCGGCCGGGAAGAAAUCGCACUCUCUAACAUAGGGUGUGGAUGACGGUACCGGACUAAGAAGCACCGGCUAACUACGUGCCAGCAGCCGCCGUAAUAC